CUAAAUAAUGUAGGCUAGUUUAUGUCCAUGUAUUAUAUUAGGACCCAAGGUUAAUGGGUUAUUCUAUUUGCCAUGUUUUCACAGGCUGCUGUCUCAUAAUAUGGCGAAGACGAGUCACCUGAAGGCCUAACUCGCCAUAGAAGACUGAAAGAAUUGUCCUGCAGGAUGCUGUGUCCUGCAAUCCUGUGUGCUGUGCUACAGACGCGUGUGGAGGUCAACCCAAAAUGGGCACAGUCUCACCACAGAAGAGUGAAAGAGGAUCCUGGCAGGGAGACGGUAGUGUCCUGCAGAAUGGUGAUGGGCCAAUCUUACAAGAGACCACAGAAAACUGAUAUAGUGAACUAUAGAAACAACAGAGUGCCUGCUGCAGUAUGACGAGGACACCCUGAGCAGAGAGCUCCAAUAGACCCAGGUCCAGUGUCUUGGCAGGGUGAAAUGGCACUGAUAUGGUGUCCUGCAGGAUGCUGUGUCCUGCAAUCCUGUGUGCUGUGCUACAGACGCGUCUGGAAGCCAACCUGAAAUAAGCACAGUCUCUCCACAGAGGAGUGAAAGAGGCUCCCAGAAGUGAGACUGAGUGCCUGUUGCAGUAUGACGAGGACACAGUGACCAGAGACCUUCAGUAGACCCUUCUGGCAUGAUUGGCGGCUGAAGAACAUGAAAUCAACAGCAAUGUUUAUAAUGUUGUACAUACCUGUAUAGUCUGUAUUAAAAGGCAGUACCUGUA